UGGGGAAUAUUAGACAAUGGGGGCAACCCUGAUCCAGCCAUGCCGCGUGAGUGAUGAAGGCCUUCGGGUUGUAAAGCUCUUUUGGCGGGGACGAUGAUGACGGUACCCGCAGAAUAAGCCCCGGCUAACUUCGUGCCAGCAGCCGCGGUAAGACGAAGGGGGCUAGCGUUGUUCGGAAUUACUGGGCGUAAAGCGAGUGUAGGCGGUUGCCGUAGUCAGGUGUGAAAGCCUUGAGCUCAACUCAAGAAAUGCACUUGAUACUGGGUGACUAGAGGACCGGAGAGGAUAGUGGAAUUCCCAGUGUAGUGGUGAAAUACGUAGAGAUUGGGAAGAACACCAGUGGCGAAGGCGGCUAUCUGGACGGUUACUGACGCUAAGACUCGAAAGCGUGGGGAGCAAACAGGAUUAGAUACCCUGGUAGUCCACGCCGUAAACGAUGGGUGCUAGACGUUGGCGAGCUUGCUCGUCAGUGUCGCAGCUAACGCGUUAAGCACCCCGCCUGGGGAGUACGGCCGCAAGGUUGAAACUCAAAUGAAUUGACGGGGUCAUAGCUGUUUCCU
rnacentral:rRNA from 1 species